UACCCUUUCAUGUGUUGAUAUGAAUAUGAAGAGGGGGGUUGGAUGGCUGAAUGGUUAGCGUGUGCACGCUGUAUCAUAACGUCUGUCAUUGAGUCAACUGGCGUUGUACGUGACAAGGAAUAGGGUCGUCUGUCCAACCUCGUGGGUUUUCUCAGGGUUCUCCAGUUUCCUUCCCCUGCUAAAGACCCCUAUGUGCACGCGAAUUAUUGAAAUAAAAUGACUUAGUUUGUGUCAAGUGAACGUUAAACCCUAUUUCUCUCUCUCAUAAAUAUGAAGAAUGUGGGGCUCUUCGGGACUAAAUCUUAUGAAAUUGUAUGGUCAUUCGUCGCGAAAGUUCCUAAGUAUGAAUCCAUUUUGAUUUAAAAUGGUUCAAAUAUAAUCCAACAUGAGAUGUCAGUUAUGUCUCAUUCGGGAUCAGUCAUGAAAAGCCCAAUUAUUUGUAUCGUAAUAUUUCUACGCGCAUCAGCCUUCUAAAUGAUGUGAUUGACUUUUUUCCUGUUUUCAGAGAGGGUACGGCAUCAAUCUGGUUAAAACACAGAUCCUAUUUCGUUUUCGUUUUAUAGUUCAAAAUUUCGUUUUACUUGUCUUUACUACACUUGGAUCUGGAAGAGUUGUUAUUUAACUCGUGUUCUGAAUGGUGACAGGGAUAAGCCAACGAAACGGUCUGUUACGGUUAUCGAUAUCAGCAGUAGUCAUGUCAUAUCUCCAGAAUCCACAACCAAUGCAGCCACCAUGGUAAUAUGUAGUGAUCUGAUAUCAUCCAUACAAAAAUUUUAUACACAAUAAUUGCCAGUUUAU